UACGUAGGUGGCAAGCGUUGUCCGGAAUUAUUGGGCGUAAAGCGCGCGCAGGCGGUCCUUUAAGUCUGAUGUGAAAGCCCACGGCUCAACCGUGGAGGGUCAUUGGAAACUGGGGGACUUGAGUACAGAAGAGGAAAGCGGAAUUCCACGUGUAGCGGUGAAAUGCGUAGAGAUGUGGAGGAACACCAGUGGCGAAGGCGGCUUUCUGGUCUGUAACUGACGCUGAGNCGCGAAAG
rnacentral:rRNA from 1 species